AUUUGUGAAUUGCAAUCGACCAGAGAAGAACAGAAAAAUCAAUGAAGAAGAUCUUAUUCCCCUCGUCAAUCGGUAAAUCAAACGUCAAGACAGAAAGAAAAAAUAUCAGAGAGUAGAAAUCUGUGUCUGCCGUUCACAUCUUUUCGCUGUUACCGGAAUCAUCAUGGAAACCCUUAGUUCUCCUGCAACAAUCAUCUCAUCAUCAUCUUCUUCUCUCUCAGUCUUUUCACCCAAGAGAAAAGACUCGCCAGCAAGACUCGUUCGACUUCAUUCUUGUUCGAAAAGAAAUGAUAAAGAUUCCGAUCUUCAAUCAGAUUCAAACUGCUCGAGAAUCGUUCCUCUUUUUGGCAAUCAAACACUUUCGCAGGAUGCAGCUAUGGGGUUGGUAUUAAGUGCUGCGUCUGUGAGAGGAUGGACUACGGGGUCUGGGAUGGAGGGACCGUCGGUUCCCGCCGGAGCCGAGAAUGGAUCCAGUACGGAGAGGGUCUCGACGUUCCCCUGGUCCCUUUUCACCAAAUCGCCACGUCGGAGAAUGCGCGUCGCAUUCACUUGCAAUGUUUGUGGACAGAGAACAACUCGCGCCAUCAAUCCCCAUGCUUACACUGACGGCACAGUCUUCGUUCAGUGCUGUGGAUGCAAUGUUUUUCACAAGCUGGUGGAUAAUUUGAACCUGUUUCAUGAGAUGAAGUGUUACGUGAACCCGAGUUUCAACUACAGGGAUCCAAAGUGGGAUGUAGGUUUCAAGUUUCUUGACACGGAUGAUGAUAGUAACGAUGUCUUUCCGAUCUAAAAGGCGUUAUAUCAGAGACCACUUAUACACUGUUUGACAUGAGGAAGUGGGGAGUUAUUUUCAACACACUUGGAACCAGAGAGUAUAUCUCCAGUUUCUGCACAUCCAUGGACAGUCUCUACAGGACUUGACAUAACAAUCAAAGGCAGAGGAAGGGACACCUUCAGGCCACAUUGGUACAACGAUGUAAACUGCAAACCUUUCCUUUGCUCUUAUCUUACUAACAAUCUUCAAUGCCAAUUCCAUAGGAAUUAUAUUA